rnacentral:rRNA from 1 species
UCGAGGAUCUUCGGCAAUGGGCGCAAGCCUGACCGAGCGACGCCGCGUGGGCGAUGAAGGCCUUCGGGUUGUAAAGCCCUGUCGAGGGGGAGAAAGUGGAAACUUGAUCUAUCCCUGGAGGAAGCACGGGCUAAGUUCGUGCCAGCAGCCGCGGUAAGACGAACCGUGCGAACGUUGUUCGGAAUCACUGGGCUUAAAGGGCGCGUAGGCGGGCUGCCAAGUCCGCGGUGAAAUCCCCCGGCUCAACCGGGGAACUGCCGCGGAUACUGGAAGUCUCGAGGGAGGUAGGGGCAUGCGGAACUGCGGGUGGAGCGGUGAAAUGCGUUGAUAUCCGCAGGAACUCCGGUGGCGAAGGCGGCGUGCUGGACCUUUUCUGACGCUGAGGCGCGAAAGCCAGGGGAGCGAACGGG